rnacentral:lncRNA from 1 species
UUGGAGGACCUGUUUGGGAAGAAUUAGGAGAUGUGGACUUAUUGGAGGAGGUGUGGACUUAUUGGAGGAGGUGUGGACUUAUUGGAGGAGGUGUGGAGUUAUUGGAGGAGGUGUGGACUUAUUGGAGGAGGUGUGGACUUAUUGGAGGAGGUGUGGACUUAUUGGAGGAGGUGUGGACUUAUUGGAGGAGGUGUGCCAUUGGGGAUGGGGUUGGGGCUUUGAGGUUCCAAACCCCAUGCCAUUUCCAGUUAGCUCUCUCUCUGCCUUGUACUUGUGGAUCAAGAUAUAAGCUCCCAGCUACUGCUUCAGUACCAUGCCUGCUUGCCUGCUGCCUUGCUCCUCACCAUGAUGGCCAUAGACUCUAAUACUCUGAAACCGUGAGUCCCAAAUAAACUGUUUUCUUUUAUAGGUUGCCUUGGUUGUGGUGUUUUAAUUACAGCAAUAGGAAAGUAAUGAAGAUACCACCCAUUUCCAUUAUUUCUGUUUCAUUGUUACAAUCCUGGCUGCUCUGUUAUUCCUGGCUGCAAAACUCAGUAUGAAUU